GACGUAGGGCGCGAGCGUUGUCCGGGUUUAUUGGGCGUAAAGAGCUCGUAGGCGGCUUGUUGCGUCGGCUGUGAAAACCCAUGGCUCAACCGUGGGCUUGCAGCCGAUACGGGCAGGCUAGAGUUCGGUAGGGGAGACUGGAAUUCCUGGUGUAGCGGUGAAAUGCGCAGAUAUCAGGAGGAACACCGGUGGCGAAGGCGGGUCUCUGGGCCGAUACUGACGCUGAGGAGCGAAAGCGUGGGGAGCGAACAGG
rnacentral:rRNA from 1 species